rnacentral:rRNA from 1 species
CCUACGGGGCGCAGCAGUGGGGAAUAUUGCACAAUGGGGGGAACCCUGAUGCAGCAACGCCGCGUGGGUGAAGAAGUACUUCGGUAUGUAAAGCCCUGUCAGCAGGGAAGAAAAUGACGGUACCUGACCAAGAAGCCCCGGCUAACUACGUGCCAGCAGCCGCGGUAAUACGUAGGGGGCAAGCGUUAUCCGGAUUUACUGGGUGUAAAGGGAGCGUAGACGGCAAGGCAAGUCUGGAGUGAAAGCCCGUGGCUCAACCACGGGACUGCUUUGGAAACUGUGUUGCUGGAGUGCAGGAGGGGUAAGCGGAAUUCCUAGUGUAGCGGUGAAAUGCGUAGAUAUUAGGAGGAACACCGGUGGCGAAGUCGGCUUACUGGACUGUAACUGACGUUGAGGCUCGAAGGCGUGGGGAGCAAACAGGAUUAGAUACCCCAGUAGUC